GACGAACGCUGGCGGCGUGCCUAAUACAUGCAAGUAGAACGCCGAAGAGAGGAGCUUGCUCUUCUUGGAUGAGUUGCGAACGGGUGAGUAACGCGUAGGUAACCUGCCUUGUAGCGGGGGAUAACUAUUGGAAACGAUAGCUAAUACCGCAUAACAAUGGAUGACACAUGUCAUUUAUUUGAAAGGGGCAAUUGCUCCACUACAAGAUGGACCUGCGUUGUAUUAGCUAGUAGGUGAGGUAACGGCUCACCUAGGCGACGAUACAUAGCCGACCUGAGAGGGUGAUCGGCCACACUGGGACUGAGACACGGCCCAGACUCCUACGGGAGGCAGCAGUAGGGAAUCUUCGGCAAUGGGGGCAACCCUGACCGAGCAACGCCGCGUGAGUGAAGAAGGUUUUCGGAUCGUAAAGCUCUGUUGUAAGUCAAGAACGAGUGUGAGAGUGGAAAGUUCACACUGUGACGGUAGCUUACCAGAAAGGGACGGCUAACUACGUG
rnacentral:rRNA from 1 species